GCGCACGGGUGAGUACACGUGAGCAACUGCCGGGAAGCCGGGAUAGCCCUCGGAAAGGGGAUUAAUACCGGAUGUGGCACCCUGCGAUGGAGGCGAAGCUAAAGGAUUAUUCACUUCCCGAGGGGCNGCGGCCCAUCAGCUUGUUGGUGAGGGUAACGGCCCACCAAGGCGACAACGGGUAGCUGGUCUGAGAGGAUGGUCAGCCACACUGUAACUGAGACACGGUCCAGACACCUACGGGUGGCAGCAGUCGAGAAUCAUUCGCAAUGGGGGAAACCCUGACGAUGCGACGCCGCGUGGAGGAUGAAGGCCUUAGGGUUGUAAACUCCUGUCAAGGGGGAAUAAGCAAGUGAAGGUACCUCUAGAGGAAGGGGCGGCUAAUUCCGUGCCAGCAGCCGCGGUAACACGGAAGCCCCGAGCGUUGUUCGGAUUCAUUGGGCGUAAAGGGUGCGUAGGCGGCGCGGAAAGUCCGGCGUGAAAGGCAGGGGCUCAACCUCUGGACUGCGUUGGAUACUUCCGUGCUUGAGGACUGCACGGGAGACUGGAAUCCCCGGUGUAGCAGUGAAAUGCGUAGAUAUCGUGAGGAAG
rnacentral:rRNA from 1 species